AUCCUUUUGUGCUUCCUGAGUGUGAUGAAUGGGUUUUUACCCUAUUGUGUGAGAUGUGCCUUCCUCAAACCUUGUUAUGACAUCAGCACAUUAGCUGUGUGAUG